GAAUGCUAUUGCAUCGCGCAUCACCUGUGGCUACCUGUCACGUUGCCCUACUAUACGGCACUGGCCCAAAAGGAACGUGGAAUCGUUUGCAGACAAUAUCUGUUAGUAUAGACCGGUCUUUACACUCCUGAGGAUUAGUUACACGCGAUCAGGAUUUUGAUCUUUCAUUUGUGUCUGAAACCAGAAUAGAAUACCGUGUGGUGAAUGUGGGUCGUCGUUGGAAUUUUGUAUUUGGUAUUACACUUUAUGUAAUCACAUUAAAAAAACAUGUAUGUAUGAAAUACGUAAUAAAUGCAAAUGAAAUAAUUUGUAUUGCAAAAUAAAAUAUUUAACAUGAGCUAAGUAUAUAUUAAGAUGCUCGCUAUUAUGCACGAUAUUUAAAUUUUAUAUGAUUUUUGUUCGAUUUGAAAUAGAAAAAAAACUUUACAAAAAAAAAAAAAGAAAAAAGACAUCUUGAAAAGAAUUAUUAAAAAACAAAGCUAGAUAGAUUUAAAUCAAAGAUUUAAAUUUAAGCUGCAUUUGUUGUAUUCUGAUACGUUUAAAAUAAAAAUUACAUUUUGAAUAAAAAAGAUUUAUGAAAAAAAAAGGACAAUUAUGCGAUAAUGGUCAAACAUUUUCGAGAAAAGGGACACCAUUGUGCGUGUGAUAAUAGCCAAACAUUUUCGUGACAUGCAUAUAUCGAGUGCAAAUGCGUCUGAGGAGACACGUGUGUCAGUAAGAAAUGACUUGCGCCGGUGAGAGGGCUGAAAUGUGGUACAAGAGGGCUGGAAAUAACCUGCGGUGUGGCUGACCCCUCAGUCUGCAUCAUAUAUAACCGCACAAGCGUUAUGUGUGCGUGAAUUAUUACAAUCUUUGCAGGAAAUCACGAUCUUCUGGAAGAUCAAUUUUAAAAGGCUGAUCAUUUUCGUCCGUUAGGUGUCAGAUUUAUGCGAUCUCUCGUGCGAAUCGAGCGUUCGCAUUAUCAGCAAUUUUUCUCUCGUUUCUCUUCCGGAAUUAUGACAGAUUCAAUUGCUAAAGUGUACUUUGAAUUAUUCGACUUUGAAUUUGAUGGCGAUUUAAUUAUUCGAGCGUUCAUUAAAUUUUUUAUAAUUGCAAUAAUGAAAGGUGUCAGAGAUUUAAGAUCAGGUAUCAUGCUCAUGGUGAUGACUGGUGAUUAUUUCUUUAAUUAUUCCUCUUUUUUUUUUAGGAACGUAUUCGUGGAAAUUGAUAAAAAAAAUAUUACUCAGGUUUGUAGACAAAAUAAAAGUAGAAUAAGAAAUAAGCAAAAAAUUCCUCGAUGGUGGACGAAGAAUUUUUUUAACAUCACUUUUUUUAACAACAAGUUAGUGAUAUAAUGACAUAUAAUUUCGAUAAAGAAACUAUUUUCGAACUAUGCAUAUAAUAGUAUGAAUCAUAAAUGAUCUAGACUCUGGUCAGUCAAGUUAAUACAUGUAUAAUGAUACAUCAUUUUUAAUAUCAUAUUUAAUUUUUAUGAAUAUGUUUAUCGAUAUUCCAGAAGUUUAUUUUAUAAAAUAGUUUAUCACCUUCCUUACAUCUCCCAAUUUUCAAAUUAAACAACAAAAAAAGAUUUUAAAUUUUGAAUCGUUUAUCGUCAAUAGAUCUUUAAAAAAAAAAAUCUUAGAAAUUUUAAUAUUUUAAAUAAAAUUGCCAUUAAAUGAAUUUCCCUUGAACUACGCAACAUCGACGUAGCGUCGUAUCGUUCCGUUGGCAAUCGAAUAUUUUCCUUAUCAAAGUGCGAUCACCUGCUGCUCGCAAAGUGGCAACGAGCAUUCAUUUUAUUUUAUUACGAAACAUAUGCAUACGAUAUCUCUUGCCCGUAUACUUGCUCCGCUGCGGUAUCAUCAUGUUGUUAGAUAAGGCGACGACCUUAACUAAGGAAAUCGUGAAAAGUUGAUCAACGACUAUCAAAAUGAAGUUAUCGAUCAUAAUAAUCCGGCCUCCAUAAAAGAUCUCUGACAACAGGACACGAGGAAAAGGGGAGAUAGUGACGUUGCACGGUGGAACAAAGGGAAAAACUCGAGCACGGCUGGUGAACAGUCGCAAAGCGUGAGGGGUGGGGAAAGAGGAAAGGACAGAAAACGACGAAAAGGGAAUGGGUAUCUUCUCAGGUAUGAAAUACACGCAUAUAAGCGAAGCAAACCAAUGAAGGAUUCUUUGGUGAGUUGCCAAUAAUACCGCUGCCGUUGAAUCUUGCUGCCAUCCAAUCGACUGGAGAUUAUCUUGUGGUGAAACCAGAAAGGGGGAAACCGGUGCAUAGUCUCGGUUAACCGAUCUUAGUCGAGAUAAAAGGACAAAUUGUGGUUACAAUGUUGUAUAGUACAGUUCCGAAUAAAAGACAGUGUCGUUCAUUCGAAUAGUAAAUAGAUAAUGUUAAUAAAAUAUUUAUAUUGAAUAGA